rnacentral:rRNA from 1 species
GAUGAACGCUGGCGGCGUGCCUAACACAUGCAAGCCGAGCGAUCUUCUUCGGAAGGGAGCGGCGGACGGGUGAGUAACGCGUGGGUAACCUGCCCUGUACACACGGAUAACAUACCGAAAGGUAUGCUAAUACGGGAUAACAUAAGAAAGUCGCAUGGAUUUCUUAUCAAAGCUUUUGCGGUACAGGAUGGACCCGCGUCUGAUUAGCUAGUUGGUAAGGUAACGGCUUACCAAGGCGACGAUCAGUAGCCGACCUGAGAGGGUGAUCGGCCACAUUGGAACUGAGACACGGUCCAAACUCCUACGGGAGGCAGCAGUGGGGAAUAUUGCACAAUGGGCGAAAGCCUGAUGCAGCAACGCCGCGUGAGCGAUGAAGGCCUUCGGGUCGUAAAGCUCUGUCCUCAAGGAAGAUAAUGACGGUACUUGAGGAGGAAGCCCCGGCUAACUACGUGCCAGCAGCCGCGGUAAUACGUAGGGGGCUAGCGUUAUCCGGAAUUACUGGGCGUAAAGGGUGCGUAGGCGGUCUUUCAAGUCAGAAGUGAAAGGCUACGGCUCAACCGUAGUAAGCUUUUGAAACUGUAAGACUUGAGUGCAGGAGAGGAGAGUGGAAUUCCUAGUGUAGCGGUGAAAUGCGUAGAUAUUAGGAGGAACACCAGUUGCGAAGGCGGCUCUCUGGACUGUAACUGACGCUGAG